rnacentral:rRNA from 1 species
CAGAGGGUUCUGACGGAUGCUUUUAUUAGACCAAACCGCUGGGAGUACCUAGCCUUUCUCUUGUAGAUUGGUGUUGGUGCUCUGCUCGGCCGGUGGUGACUCUGGAUAACCUUUCUUGACAAGCGCACGUACUCCUCCUUUGAGCGAGACGGCGCUGCCACUUUCGAGUGUCUGCCUUAUCAGCUAUCAACCGUUCGUUAUGCGCGACCGAUGGCUUUGACGGGUAACGGGGAAUCAGGGUUCGAUUCCGGAGAGGCAGCCUGAGAGACGGCUACCACGUCCAAGGACGGCAGCAGGCACGCAAAUUACCCAAUCCCAGCAAAUGGGGGAGGUAGUGACGAAAUCUAACGAUGCGGGCGCCCUAUCUGGGGCCCCGCAAUCGGAAUGGGCACUUCCUAAACAACCUGUUGAGAACCUACUGAAGGGCAAGUCUGGUGCCAGCAGCCGCGGUAAUUCCAGCUUCAGCAGCAUCUAUUAAAGUUGCUGCGGUUAAAAGGCUCGCAGUUGAAUGUCUGUAUCGAGCGCAGGAAGGUGGACGUUGGAGCGUGUUGCGGAUUACGGGGUUAUGUCUUGUGGCUCCGUGCUGCAGGCGUGCCUCUCAUGGUCUCACGCGUUCCCGUCCGUGACAAGCCUCCUCGCUUACGCAUGCAUAAAGGGAAUCCACUCAAACGCGCGUUGGUGUUGUGGGCUUCUCGCUUCCGGCUGUUGGGCGUCGUGGCUUCGUGCUCGGCCUCUUCAGUGCAGGAACGGGUUGUUCGCGUGCUUUCGUGCAGCGGUUUCAAAGUCACCCUGAGUAAAUCAGAGUGCUCAAAGCCAGUCGUAUGGACCUCGAGUCCUGUGAUGAAASCAGUCUUUCUGUCUGUUGACGGACUGACUUGGUUUUGCAUGGCAUGUCGAAAGACGACGUCGUKUGCUGGCUCAGAGUGAUUGACAGUGGUGCAAGCCAGCCUCGACGUAAUGAUUAAAAAGGGACGGUCGAGGGCAUUGGUAUUGCGAGGCGARAGGUGAAAUUCUGUGACCCCCGCAAGACCUCCUGAAGCGAAAGCGUCUGCCAAGGACGUUUUCAUUAAUCAUGGAACGAAAGUUAGAGGAUCGAAGGCGAUCAGAUACCGCCCUAGUUCUAACCCUAAACGAUGCCAACCAUCAAUCCGCGCGUAGCACCCUUCUUAACGGGCUCGGCGGGCAGCUCCCCUACUCACGGGAAACCAGAGCCUCUGGGUUCCGGGGGGAGUCUGGUUGCAAAGCUGAAACUUAAAGGAAUUGACGGAAAGGCACCACCAGGCGUGGAGCCUGCGGCUUAAUUUGACUCAACACGGGCCAUCUCACCAGGCCAGCACUCUUGCAUGAUUGACAGAUUGAGAGCUCUUUCUCGAUUCAGUGGAUGGUGGUGCAUGGCCGUUCUUAGUUGGUGGAGUGAUCUGUCUGGUUAAUUCCGAUAACGAACGAGACUCUCCCCUGCUAACUAGUCGGUUGGAUCUUGAUUCGUGAGUUGCGUCGCUCCUGGGCACACCCCUCUUUCGUGGCUACCGCCGCGUAGAGGUUCUAGGUACGCGAUCGUUUCGGCGUGUCGUUGUGCCUGACGGGCCAUGCGCGUGCGUGUGUGCGCGGUUGACGGAAGGAGCUCGGGUAGCAUCGUCGCACUCCAAGUCCGCCGCUUAUGCUAUGAAGGUCUUCUUAGAGGGAUUCACGGCACCGAAGCCGUCAGAGACUGAGAGCAAUAACAGGUCUGUGAUGCCCUUAGAUGCUCUGGGCCGCACGCGCGCUACAAUGCCGGGCACAGCAGGUGUUUCUCCUGCUCCGACAGGAGCGGGUAACCCUCUGAAAGUUCAAAUGGUUUGACGUCCUCUCUUCUCUUCUCGUGCGAACGAGGCAGAGGGAGUGUGACGAAAAGGCGUGCUUGGGCCUGGGGCUUGCAAUUCUCUUCCCACCAACGAGGAAUGCCUAGUAGCGGCGUCACUGAGC